UAUUAUGUCUUGAGUGAAUUUUAAACCAUGUGAAAGUAACAGUCUGAACGCAAUAGGAGGAACGGUCUACAGUACACUUUUUAACUAUUUUUAACCCCAAAGCUUCAUAAAGUGGC